rnacentral:tRNA from 1 species
GGGGAUUUAGCUCAGUGGCAUAAGCACCUGCCUUGCAAGCAGGCGGAUGUGAGUUCAAAUCCCGGUACCA